GACGAACGCUGGCGGCGUGCUUAACACAUGCAAGUCGAACGGUGAACUCCGCUUGCGGGGGGAUCAGUGUCGAACGGGUGCGUAACACGUGGGCAACCUGCCCUCAGCUCUGGGAUAACUCUAAGUAAUUGGGGCUAAUACUGGAUCUGACCGCUGUCCGCAUGGUCUGGUUGCGGUAGGAUUUAUCGGCUGUGGAUGGGCUCGCGGACUAUCAGCUUGUUCGUUGGGUAGUGGCCUACCAAGGCGACGACGGGUAGCCGACCUGAGAGGGUGACCGGCGACAAUGGUACUAAGACACGGCGCAGAAGCCUACGGGAGGCAGCAGUGGGGAAUAUUGCGGAAUGGGCGAAAGCCUGACGCAGCGGCGCCGCGUGCGGGAUGACGGCCUACGGGUGAUAAACCUCUUUCAGCAGGGACGAAGAGAAAGUGACGGUACCUGCAGAAGAAGCCCCGGCCAACUACGUG
rnacentral:rRNA from 1 species